rnacentral:piRNA from 1 species
UGCAGGUUAUUUACAGGAGCAA